AUUGAACGCUGGCGGCAUGCCUUACACAUGCAAGUCGAACGGCAGCACGGGGCAACCUGGUGGCGAGUGGCGAACGGGUGAGUAAUGCAUCGGAACGUACCUUUCAGUGGGGGAUAACGUAGCGAAAGUUACGCUAAUACCGCAUAUUCUGUGAGCAGGAAAGCAGGGGAUCGCAAGACCUUGCGCUGAUUGAGACGCCGAUGUCAGAUUAGCCAGUUGGGGAGGUAAAGGCUCACCAAGGCGACGAUCUGUAGCGGGUCUGAGAGGAUGAUCCGCCACACUGGAACUGAGACACGGUCCAGACUCCUACGGGAGGCAGCAGUGGGGAAUUUUGGACAAUGGGGGCAACCCUGAUCCAGCCAUGCCGCGUGAGUGAAGAAGGCCUUCGGGUUGUAAAGCUCUUUCGGCCGGGAAGAAAUCGCACGGGCUAAUACCCUGUGUGGAUGACGGUACCGGAAUAAGAAGCACCGGCUAACUACGUGCCAGCAGCCGCAGUAACAC
rnacentral:rRNA from 1 species